UCCAGAAAAGCAGUGAAGAAGAAAUUUGACUAUGAAUUCCACCCUAACGUUCUACAAAAAGAAUUGCGCUCCACAGAAAACAUGAAGCGAUUGGAAAAAUUAAAGAGCAAAAGUUUCAAUCGUACCCAGUGGGAUUUAAUUACAAAAGGUGACGUUUCAUCAGACAACUUUGAUUUGACUUUGAUGAUAACCCUUUUAACACACCUUGCUGAUUUAAGUAUUGGAAAUGCACUUCCUUAUCCUAGCGUCAAAUCGGACGAAGCUGAUUUUACAAGAAUAAAAUACUACCGUAACCUCAUCGCUCACAACACAGAAGCUGCAAUUUGUGAAUCCGAUUUCAGGACAUAUUGGAACGAUAUUGAACAGGCUGUUUUACGACUAAGCGACAACACGCUGGAAGCAGAUUGUAAAAAACUCAAAUUACAAGAAUUCAAGCCACGAGAAGUUGACGAAUUACUGUGCGCUAUUAACGCAAAACCAAGACUAACAGAUAUUGAAGAGAAACUGACCCAUUUAACUGAUGCAUUCGAACACAUGGCAAGUCAAUUGGACAGUAUAGCUAAUAUCGUGCAACCAGACAUACAUGGAUUAAGAUUCACCCCCUUGGGUGAGUAUACUGCAAGACGUUUUGCAAAGCAAUAGUAUCAAUAUUUUAUCACAAUUUAGAAAUACGUGUAUGUAAAAUGAUGCUACCAACAUUUUUGUUAGAUUUUACUAUUUUAAUUUUGAUUGACAAAAUACACACA